CUUCUUGCUGUAAUGACAACCUAUUCAAAAGUGAAAUAGAGCCCUUAGAUACCUCAGUUGUGGUCAGUACAACUCAGAGAAACUCCGUUUCUGCUUGCUGGAUGACUAUUGCAAUGAAGAUACAGCUGUAAUUCAGGAGAGAGAAUUUUUGGACAGGAGUGCUAUUCUUCAGUUGCCUAUGAAGCAUCUCCUAACGGAAAAGGUUACUUCAGGAUGAUGGAAGAAAUAAUUGUUAAGAACUAAACCAGCAAGGCAUUCUACCUAGGUUAAGACUAUAGCAAUUCUCUGGAGACAUACCUGAACUUGUUGACAGAGCCUAUCUGGGAAAUUUUAAAACAGAUUGGCUUGGUUGGAGUUUUUAAUUGUUUUUUUUUUUUUUUUUUGAAUAAAGGUGAAGAAAAAAAAAACGGAUGUCAGAACUGAAAGCAAACUGCUUCUUGUUGAAAAAAUCUGAAAUGAUCUGAUUUUAAGCUGUUUUCAGAGGAACAGCUUUCUCUUUUAUCUUUUUUUUUCUUUUUCCUUUUUUUUUUUUUUUUUUUUUUUUUCCAUUUAGAAUUGGAAAUAACUUCAAAAGAGUAUUUCCCUACAGCAGGAAAACUCUUUUCCAAAAGUCAACCACACCCACUCUUUCAGCAGCCUUCCGGAGCUGAGGCAUUACAGCAAGCAUCUGUGAAAGGGAGUUCAUUGAGGACUGGAGCAUGUUUGGUGUUUUAAAUACUCAUAGCACAAUAGUAGUGAAGCCUGCCCUUCUCCAUCUUGCCCGGAAUAAGCAAUGGAUUACCAUUCUUGUCCUGACAAAGAGCUCCUCUUUGCAUGAAGAAAGUUGGAAACAGUGAUUCAAAAAAGAUGCACUACUAGCACUAGGCUCUGAGUAUGUUCUUCUCCCUGAGCAAGGGCCUGUUCACUGGAUUCUGGGUUCCUCACUGCAGUCCUUGAAUAUGUGACUCCAUUGGCGUCUCCUGUGCUUUUCACAAUCUCCAGGUUGCCAUAGCUGGAGAUGUAAGGAAUAACCACAACCAUCACUGAGAACCUUAUUACCCUGAUGGUACAUCUCAGAACAAACAAGAUACACGUUCUUGCAAUGCAAUUAUUUUCUUACCUACUGAACUCUGCUUCUAGUCACAUUUUCUAGGUAGCUGUCAUUGUUAGCUUCUCCUUGACAUGAGAGUGUUUUGUUUUUUCAAGUUUUCACCAGAACACAUCAUCUGCCCAUCAUGUGCUUUUUAACCCUUUCUUUCUAAAUUCAGGUGUCCUUCUUCAUUAUACCAUUCUUUGGACUGGAGGUUUCUGGUUGGCCCUUCACUCUGCUCAAGCUUCUGUUCUGAUUCUCACUCUGACCUCUGCAGUGGGUGUUCAGACACUUAUUCCCAGUUUGGACUUCUCAAAUCAGAUACUGAAUCCAGAUCCAUGUUUCUCCCAUGAGGCACCUUGAAAAUUAGGUAGAUGAGAAGACCUCUUGAGAGUACUCAACUCAUCUGUUUUGAGAUGUUUCUGCAAAAUAUGAAUCCAACUAUAUGUAAGACCUUCAAAGAAAUCAGUGCUGUUUUCUGUCAUGGUGGCUAAAGGAUAACUUCUUUUCUGUUGAAUUUUUGAACAAAGACAUACUUUUGUCUCUGCCAUAAGAAGAAGAGUCUGGAUCACAGAUCCCACCUCAGAAGCUCCCAGCAAUUGUGACUAUAGAGUCAGGGAUUCUUCACUGGUUUUGGUUAUGGGGCCGUUCUUACCCUGAGAUGUGGAAGUUCGAAAGAAAUUAAGGGCUGUGGUAUAACCACAAUGGAUAGUGCUCCUCAGGAUAAUCUGAUUUACAUCUCUUUGGUGUUUAUGCCUGCUAAGAACAGGACAACAUGGCCUGCACACAGCAAAGAAGCACAGCUACUGCAUGCUCAACUCUGCUUUUGGCAGCUACAGCCAGUUCCAAGGAGUUGUUGGGAGAUUCCUGUGUCUGCUCCAAAGGUAUUGCUUGUGGUUUUAUUAUUAUGUCAGAGUUUUGGAAAAGGUG
rnacentral:lncRNA from 1 species